UACGGAGGGUGCAAGCGUUGUCCGGAAUCACUGGGCGUAAAGGGCGCGUAGGCGGCUCGGUAAGUAGGGGGUGAAAUCCUGCGGCUUAACCGCAGGGCUGCCUUCUAAACUGUCGAGCUCGAGCACGGUAGAGGCAGAUGGAAUUCCCGGUGUAGCGGUGGAAUGCGUAGAGAUCGGGAAGAACAUCAGUGGCGAAGGCGGUCUGCUGGGCCGUUGCUGACGCUGAUGCGCGACAGCAUGGGGAGCAAACAGG
rnacentral:rRNA from 1 species